AAUGAACGUUGGCGGCGCGGAUUAGGCAUGCAAGUCGUGCGGAAAGGCUCCUUCGGGAGUACUCGAGCGGCGAAAGGGAGAGUAACGCGUGGAUAUCUACCCCCUGGUCUGGGAUAGCGGCGGGAAACUGCCGGUAAUACCAGAUAAUGUCUGCGGACCAAAGGGGUGAUUCCCCCGGGGGAUGAGUUCGGGUCCUAUUGACUGGUGGGUAGGGUAAUGGCCUACCAAGGCACAAAUGGGUACCGGGUGUGAGGGCAUGGCCCGGCUCACUGGGACUGAGACACUGCCCAGACACCUACGGGGGGCUGCAGUCGAGAAUCUUCGGCAAUGGGCGCAAGCCUGACCGAGCGACGCCGCGUGCGGGAUGAAGGCCUUCGGGUUGUAAACCGCUGUCAGAGGGGAGGAAAUGCGUAGGAGUUCUCUCCGACGUUUGACCUAUCCUCAGAGGAAGUACGGGCUAAGUUCGUGCCAGCCGCCGCCGUAA
rnacentral:rRNA from 1 species